AAAUGCCCUGCUUCCAGGAAAAGCCUCUAAGCAUCAGGUAACAUCAAAUCGUACCCCAAACCGACACAGGUGGUCAGGUAGAGAAUACCAAGGCGCUUGAGAGAACUCGGGUGAAGGAACUAGGCAAAAUGGUGCCGUAACUUCGGGAGAAGGCACGCUGAUAUGUAGGUGAGGUCCCUCGCGGAUGGAGCUGAAAUCAGUCGAAGAUACCAGCUGGCUGCAACUGUUUAUUAAAAACACAGCACUGUGCAAACACGAAAGUGGACGUAUACGGUGUGACGCCUGCCCGGUGC
rnacentral:rRNA from 1 species